rnacentral:rRNA from 1 species
AGAGUUUGAUCAUGGCUCAGAUUGAACGCUGGCGGCAUGCCUUACACAUGCAAGUCGAACGGUAACGCGGGGGCAACCCUGGCGACGAGUGGCGAACGGGUGAGUAGCGCAUCGGAACGUGCCCAGUAGUGGGGGAUAGCUCGGCGAAAGCCGGAUUAAUACCGCAUACGACCUACGGGUGAAAGCGGGGGACCGCAAGGCCUCGCGCUAUUGGAGCGGCCGAUGCCCGAUUAGCUAGUUGGUGAGGUAAAGGCUCACCAAGGCAACGAUCGGUAGCUGGUCUGAGAGGACGACCAGCCACACUGGGACUGAGACACGGCCCAGACUCCUACGGGAGGCAGCAGUGGGGAAUUUUGGACAAUGGGGGAAACCCUGGUCCAGCCAUGCCGCGUGCGGGAAGAAGGCCUUCGGGUUGUAAACCGCUUUUGGCAGGAACGAAACGGCGCGCGCCAAUACCGCGCGUUAAUGACGGUACCUGCAGAAUAAGCACCGGCUAACUACGUGCCAGCAGCCGCGGUAAUACGUAGGGUGCAAGCGUUAAUCGGAUUUACUGGGCGUAAAGCGUACGCAGGCGGCUGUGCAAGACAGGUGUGAAAUCCCCGGGCUUAACCUGGGAACUGCAUUUGUGACUGCAUAGCUAGAGUCCGUAAGUGGGAGGUGGAAUUCCACGUGUAGCAGUGAAAUGCGUAGAGAUGUGGAGGAACACCGAUGGCGAAGGC